CUGCUCUACAGCGUGUUUUAGGUUUCCGGGUGAGGGUAGGGUUCCUUGGUACCAUGUGGGAGCUGCUGUGAAGAGUUGUCGCAUUCCAAGAUAUACCCAAAUUCCCAGUUCCGGCCUGUGUCAUUAAAACUCCGCUGGCGUGAAAGAUGACGUCCUUAGCCCAGCAGCUCCAGCGACUCGCCCUCCCUCAAAGUGAUGCCAGCCUCUUGUCUAGAGAUGAAGUUGCCUCUUUGUUGUUUGACCCUAAGGAAGCGGCCACCAUCGACAGAGACACCGCCUUUGCCAUAGGAUGCACUGGCCUGGAAGAGUUGCUUGGAAUUGAUCCUUCCUUUGAGCAGUUUGAAGCACCGUUGUUCAGUCAGCUAGCAAAAACCUUGGAGCGAAGUGUUCAGACCAAAGCAGUAAACAAACAGCUGGAUGAAAACAUUUCAUUAUUCCUUAUCCACUUGUCGCCUUACUUCCUGCUUAAGCCGGCACAGAAGUGUCUGGAGUGGUUGAUUCACAGGUUCCAUAUACAUCUCUAUAAUCAAGAUAGCCUCAUUGCUUGUGUUCUGCCAUACCAUGAGACAAGAAUAUUUGUGCGAGUCAUACAGCUUCUAAAAAUUAAUAAUUCAAAGCACAAAUGGUUCUGGUUGUUGCCAGUUAAGCAAUCUGGAGUGCCCUUAGCUAAAGGAACUUUGAUUACCCACUGCUACAAAGAUCUUGGAUUCAUGGAUUUCAUUUGUAGUUUGGUGACAAAAUCUGUGAAGGUUUUUGCUGAGUCCCCGGGCAGCUCAGCUCAGUUGAGGGUGCUCUUGGCUUUCUAUGCUUCUACCAUAGUGUCGGCGCUGGUAGCUGCAGAGGAUGUAUCAGACAAUAUCAUCGCCAAACUAUUUCCCUAUAUCCAAAAGGGAUUGAAAUCAUCUUUACCAGAUUACAGAGCUGCAACAUACAUGAUAAUAUGUCAAAUUUCUGUGAAAGUGACCAUGGAAGAUACCUUUGUGAAUUCAUUGGCAUCACAGAUCAUCAAAACAUUGACCAAGAUUCCCUCUUUGAUCAAGGAUGGAUUAAGUUGCUUGAUAGUGCUCCUGCAAAGACAGCAGCCAGAGAGCCUUGGGAAAAAGCCAUUCCCUCACUUAUGUAGUGUUCCCGAUCUUAUUACAAUACUUCAUGGGAUUUCUGAAACUUAUGAUGUCAGUCCUCUUCUGCGUUACAUGCUUCCCCAUCUGGUUGUCUCCAUCAUUCAUCAUGUUACAGGAGAAGAAACUGAAGGAAUGGAUGGUCAAAUCUACAAGAGACACUUAGAAGCUAUACUUACAAAAAUAUCACUGAAGAACAACUUAGACCAUUUGUUGGCUAGCCUUCUAUUUGAAGAGUAUAUUUCAUAUAGUUCACAGGAAGAAAUGGAUUCUAAUAAAGUGUCUUUGCUUAAUGAACAAUUUCUUCCACUCAUUAGGCUUUUAGAAAGCAAAUACCCCAGAACGUUAGAUGUUGUAUUAGAGGAGCACUUAAAGGAAAUUGCAGAUCUGAAGAAACAAGAGCUUUUUCAUCGGUUUGUUUCUCUUUCAACAAGUGGAGGAAAGUAUCAGUUUUUAGCAGAUUCUGAUACUUCUUUGAUGCUCAGCCUGAAUCAUCCACUUGCUCCUGUGAGACUUCUGGCCAUUAAUCAUUUGAAAAAGAUCAUGAAAACAUCAAAGGAGGGUGUUGAUGAGUCUUUCAUAAAAGAAGCUGUUUUAGCCCGAUUAGAUGAUGAUAAUAUAGAUGUUGUUUUGUCGGCUGUAAGUGCUUUUGAGAUUUUCAAAGAACAUUUCACUGCAGAAGUGACGAUUUCAAAUCUUCUGAAUCUCUUUCAAAGAGCGGAACUUUCAAAGAAUAGAGAAUGGUACAAGGUACUUAAGAUAGCAACUGACAUAUUAAUUAAAGAAGAGAUACUAAGUGAAAAUGAUCGGUUGUCAAAUCAGGUGGUUGUAUGUUUGCUGCCAUUUAUGGUUAUCAAUAAUGAUGACAUGGAAUCUGCUGAGAUGAAAAUUGCUAUAUAUUUAUCAAAAUCAGGAAUCUGCUCUCUGCACCCUCUAUUAAGAGGCUGGGAAGAAGCUCUUGAAAAUGUGAUUAAAAGCACAAAGCCAGGAAAACUAACUGGCGUAGCAAAUCAGAAGAUGAUUGAGUUGUUAGCUGAUAAUAUAAAUUUAGGAGAUCCUUCUUUAAUGUUAAAGAUGGUGGAGGAUUUAAUAAGCCUGGGUGAGGAGGAGUCCGUUAACCAGAAGCAGAAAGUAACGUUUCACGUGGUCAUGUCUGUGCUCGUCUCUUGUUGUUCAUCUUUAAAAGAAACCCACUUUCCAUUUGCGAUAAGAGUCUUCAGUUUGUUGCAGAAAAAAAUAAAGAAGCUUGAAAGUGUCAUUACUGCAGUGGAAAUCCCCUCAGAAUGGCACAUUGAACUGAUGUUAGACAGAGGGAUACCAGCGGAGCUGUGGGCACAUUAUGUAGAAGAGCUCAACAGCACUCAGAGGAUGGCCGUGGAGGACUCGGUUUUUCUUGUAUUUUCCCUGAAAAAUUUUAUUUAUGCACUGAAAGCACCUAAAUCUUUUCCUAAAGGUGACAUAUGGUGGAAUCCUGAACAACUGAAAGAAGACAGCAGGGACUAUCUGCACUUGCUCAUUGGGCUCUUUGAGAUGAUGCUCAAUGGUGCCGAUGCUGUUCAUUUCAGAGUUCUGAUGAAACUUUUCAUAAAGGUACAUCUAGAAGAUGUUUUUCAGUUAUUCAAGUUCUCUUCUGUUUUAUGGACCUAUGGUUCUAGCCUUUCAAAUCCACUUAACUGCAAUGUGAAAACAGUGCUGCAGACUCAAGCUCUUUAUGUGGGCUCUGCAGUGCUCUCUUCUCAGAAGACACAGUGUAAACACCAACUGGCAUCCAUAUCUUCUCCAGUGGUGACAUCUUUACUCGUUAACCUGGGAAGUUCCAUAAAAGAAGUUCGUAGGGCUGCCAUUCAGUGUCUCCAGGCCCUCAGUGGAGUGGCGUCCCCCUUUCAUCUGAUAAUAGAUCAUUUGAUUCCUAAAGCAGAGGAGAUCACUUCAGAUGCUGCCUAUGUUAUUCAGGAUUUGGCUACUUUAUUUGAAGAACUACAGAGAGAAAAGAAACUGAAGUCUCAUCAGAAGUUGUCUGAAACUUUGAAAAACUUACUUAGUUGUGUAUAUAGUUGCCCAUCUUAUAUAGCAAAAGAUUUGAUGAAAGUACUUCAGGGAGUCCACGGUGAGAUGGUGCUUUCUCAGCUAUUGCCUAUGGCUGAACAACUGCUAGAAAAGAUCCAGAAGGAGCCCACAGCUGUGCUGAAAGAUGAGGCCAUUGUUUUGCAUCUUGCUCUGGGAAAGUAUAAUGAAUUUUCAGCUUCCCUUUUAAAUAAGGAUCCAAAGAGUCUAGAUAUAUUUAUAAAAGCUGUGCACGCAACAAAGGAACUUUACGCAGGAAUGCCAACCAUUCAGAUCACAGCCCUUGAAAAGAUUACAAAACCAUUUUUUGCAGCCAUAUCAGAUGAAAAAGUUCAGCAGAAGCUUUUAAGAAUGCUGUUUGAUUUAUUGGUGAACUGUAAAAACUCACAUUGUGCUCAGACUGUCAGCAGUGUUUUUAAAGGGAUUUCCGUUAAUGCUGAACAAGUCAGAAUAGAACUGGAGCCACCAGAUAAAGCUAAACCCUUGGGCACAGUUCAGCAAAAAAGAAGGCAAAAAAUGCAGCAGAAAAAAUCACAAGAUCUAGAAUCUGUCCAGGAAGUUGGAGGUUCCUACUGGCAAAGAGUAACUCUCAUCCUGGAAUUACUGCAGCACAAAAAGAAGCUCAAAAGUCCUCAGAUAUUGGUGCCAGCUCUUUUUAACUUGCUAUCAAGGUGUUUAGAGCCCUUGCCACAAGAGCAGGGAAAUAUGGAAUACACCAAACAGUUAAUUCUUAGUUGUCUGCUCAACAUCUGCCAGAAACUCUCUCCGGAUGGUGGCAAAAUACCCAAAGAUGUUUUAGAUGAGGAGAAGUUCAAUGUGGAGUUGAUAGUUCAGUGCGUCCGCCUUUCGGAGAUGCCGCAGACCCAUCACCACGCCCUUUUACUUUUGGGCACUGUGGCUGGAAUAUUUCCGGAUAAAGUUCUACACAAUAUCAUGUCUAUUUUUACAUUUAUGGGAGCCAAUGUCAUGCGCCUGGAUGAUACUUACAGUUUUCAGGUUAUUAACAAGACGGUGAAAAUGGUUAUUCCUGCACUUAUUCAGUCUGACAGUGGAGAUUCUAUAGAAGUUUCAAGAAACGUUGAAGAGAUCGUGGUAAAAAUCAUUAGUGUAUUUGUGGAUGCACUGCCACACGUCCCGGAGCACAGGCGCCUGCCCAUCCUUGUUCAGCUUGUUGAUACGCUGGGUGCAGAGAAAUUCCUCUGGGUUCUCCUCAUCUUGCUUUUUGAACAGUAUGUCACAAAAACAGUGCUGGCGGCUGCCUAUGGAGAAAAGGAUGCUAUUUUAGAAGCAGACACUGAAUUUUGGUUUUCAGUCUGUUGUGAGUUUAGUGUCCAGCAUCAGAUACAAAGCUUGAUGAAUAUCCUCCAGUACUUACUAAAGCUGCCAGAGGAAAAAGAAGAAACCAUUUCCAAAGCAGUGUCUAAUAAGAGUGAAUCACAAGAAGAAAUGCUACAGAUUUUUAAUGUAGAGACUCACACUAGCAAGCAACUGCGGCAUUUUAAAUUUUUGUCAGUGUCCUUCAUGUCUCAGCUCCUGUCUUCCAAUAAUUUUCUGAAAAAGGUAGUUGAGAGUGGUGGUCCUGAGAUUUUAAAAGGCCUUGAAGAGAGGUUGCUGGAGACCGUUCUCGGCUAUAUCAAUGCUGUUGCACAGUCCAUGGAAAGGAACGCAGACAAACUCACUGUGAAGUUCUGGCGUGCGCUCCUUAGUAAAGCUUACGACCUGUUGGACAAGGUCAAUGCCUUGCUGCCCACAGAGACAUUCAUUCCUGUGAUCAGAGGGCUGGUGGGCAAUCGCCUGCCAUCUGUUCGGCGGAAAGCGCUGGACCUUUUGAAUAACAAGCUACAGCAGAAUAUAUCCUGGAAGAAGACAAUAGUUACCCGUUUCCUAAAACUGGUUCCAGACCUUUUGGCCAUUGUGCAGCGUAAGAAAAAGGAAGGGGAAGAAGAACAAGCAAUCAACAGACAGACAGCAUUGUAUACCUUAAAGCUUUUAUGCAAGAAUUUUGGUGCAGAAAAUCCAGAUCCUUUUGUCCCAGUGCUGAGCACUGCUGUGAAACUGAUUGCUCCAGAGAGAAAGGAGGAGAAGAAUGUCUUGGGAAGCGCGCUGCUGUGCGUGGCAGAGGUGACCUCCACCCUGCAGGCGCUGGCCGUCCCCCAGCUUCCCAGCCUGAUGCCAUCGUUGCUGACAACAAUGAAGAACACCAGCGAGCUGGUCUCCAGCGAGGUCUACCUGCUCAGUGCCUUGGCCACCCUGCAGAAGGUUGUGGAGACUCUCCCGCACUUCAUCAGCCCCUACCUGGAAGGCAUUCUCUCCCAGGUGAUUCACUUGGAGAAAAUCACUAGUGAAGUGGGUUCUGCCUCCUCACAGGCUAAUAUCCGUCUCACAUCUCUGAAAAAGACACUGGCUACCACACUCGCACCCCGAGUCCUGUUGCCCGCCAUCAGAAAAACUUACAAGCAGGUUGAGAAGAACUGGAAGAAUCAUAUGGGUCCGUUUAUGAGCAUCUUGCAAGAGCAUAUUGGGGUGAUGAAGAAGGAAGAGGUCACCUCCCAUCAGUCUCAGCUAACCGCCUUUUUCCUGGAGGCCCUGGACUUCCGAGCCCAGCACUCUGAGAACGAUCUGGAGGAAGUUGGAAGAACAGAAAAUUGUAUCAUUGACUGUCUAGUAGCCAUGGUUGUCAAGCUUUCCGAGGUCACAUUCCGACCCCUGUUCUUCAAGCUGUUUGAUUGGGCUAAAACAGAAGAUGCCCCAAAGGACAGGUUGUUGACAUUUUACAACUUGGCAGAUUGCAUUGCUGAAAAGCUGAAAGGGCUUUUUACGCUGUUUGCCGGCCACUUAGUGAAGCCUUUUGCUGACACCUUGAACCAGGUGAACAUCUCCAAAACAGAUGAAGCAUUUUUUGACUCUGAAAAUGACCCUGAAAAGUGCUGCUUGCUGUUGCAGUUUAUUUUGAACUGUUUAUACAAAAUCUUCCUUUUUGAUACCCAGCAUUUUAUAAGUAAAGAGAGAGCAGAAGCCUUGAUGAUGCCUCUGGUGGAUCAGCUGGAAAACAGGCUUGGGGGAGAAGAGAAAUUCCAGGAACGGGUGACAAAGCAGCUGAUACCGUGCAUCGCGCAGUUUUCGGUGGCCAUGGCGGAUGACUCUCUUUGGAAACCACUGAACUACCAGAUUCUGCUAAAGACCAGAGAUGCCUCGCCUAAGGUUCGAUUUGCUGCUUUGAUUACUGUGUUAGCACUGGCUGAAAAACUAAAGGAGAAUUAUAUUGUCUUGCUACCAGAAUCCAUUCCUUUCUUAGCAGAGUUGAUGGAAGAUGAAUGUGAAGAAGUAGAACAUCAGUGCCAAAAGACUAUUCAGCAACUGGAAACUGUCCUGGGAGAGCCGCUCCAGAGCUAUUUCUAAGACUUUCUGUGGUGUUUCAUACUCUACUCAGAGUUCUGAUUUUUCGUAUUUUUAUUUUUGGGUGUUGGGUGCCAUGUUACUUUUGGUGCCUUAAUACACCUACGUGGUACUUAACAAAUGUUUUAUCACUUUACAGAAUUCUCACCUGGUUUAUGCUGCCGCAUAAGCCUCUCCUGCCUGCUGUAUAGAGCUGCAGAAAGAGUAAAUGACAUGGAAUUUUUAUACAGACUGACGUGUGUGUUUAAACAUUUAGUAUUCUCUUCCUGAUUGAUGGUGGUAAUAUCAGACCUGUUUACUUUUAGCACCCAAAGCAGACGCCUCAUUUGUACUGUAAGCCUUGACUCUUGUGUACAGCAGUGUCUUAUAUACACGGUAUCUGUGUUGCAGAUUUCACUCCAAGUUGCUCUCUACUUCAAGAAAAUGAAGUUAUUUAGCAAUCAACAGAAAUACUUUUGACCAUAAAGCCUACUUUUCAUUUUGGGUAGGCGAACUUCAGCCUUCAUUUCUUGUGCCUAUAAAGAGAAGUGGUUCUGGAAUGCUUUUUUUUUUUUUAACCCAGAAGUGUGACUGUCACCUUUAUCCUUUAUUCUUCUGGGAAACAGGGGAGAUGGAGGCAAUAAUACGCUGCUUCUAAAGCAGCUCACACCUGGCUGCUCACACAGAGGGCCCAGAAACACUGGGUGGCACGAGGAAGCUCCUCCCGGAUUAAGAAUGAACCCAAUUCCAUCGGUGGUUAAUUAAGAAUUACUUGUCUAAGACAGAGCCGUGGAAAGGGCUGCCAAGGAAAAUCAGGAGGGAGGAAGUUUCAGCUCAAGUCCUGCACUCUGAUAACAGAGCUGGCCAAUGAAGCUUCUGUGGCUACAGAGGAUUGGGGAAAUAGAUGUAACCUGAGAUUCUGUCCCCACAAGAAUGGUGGAAAUCCCAGUUCCAACCAGGUAGAAGGGACCCUGGAUAUAUUUAACAAAAUCUCAAGAAAACACAAAACACACAGCCUCAUGCUAUCGCUCAGAAGGAAAACCAAGUUGGCAGCAGAGGGAGUCAAUUAGUCACCUGUACUGUAUCAGAGCAAGUACAAAGCCAGUGAAUUACAAGCAAGUGGCAAAGAAAUGACAUGCCUCUGGGUGAGCAGACUACUGCAAAUGAAAAGAAGGCACAUCCUUUGCAAGACCCCCAGCCUAGAAGAAGACAGAACAACAGAAUCCCUCACAACCAUCUGAUGCUGCCGAACAGCUGGGAGGAACAUGGAUUCCAUCCAGAGGAAGAGCCCACGGAUGAAAUUACAAUACUGAAUGAGAUUGUUUUUAAAACACUGUAGAUACAACUAAAGUGUGUUUGAAACAGCAAGAAGAUUUAAAAUGACAGUGAUGGUAUAAUGGAAAGACCUGAGAUAAUCUCAGUGCAAGCAUAGCUAAAAGGCAAGAGAUGGAAGCCCCUGGAAAGGACCGAUCAGUACAGAAAAUCGUCAACAGUGAUCAACAUGAGGAUAAUUACUGUUCCUGAAUUAGAAAAUUAAAUGGAAAAGAUGAUUGUUCAAAAGCAUACAACAUCCAUCUAUUCAUUCCUUCAGCCAGCCAUGCUUUUCACUGUCUCUGCAAAAAAAAAUGGCCUGGAACAUGGUUCAUCUAAUCCUAAUGGCACGAUUUCAAUCACGAAGUUGGAGAUAGUUUCAUCUUAGUAUCUUUCAGCAUUACUUGAAUGUAUCAUUAUUGUCCUUUUUUAUAUUAAUAUAGUAAAUCCAAACUUGGGGCCGAGAUAGGUCCAAAACAAGUUACAUCAUUGGUUUCCUGUCACCCACCACAAGGCUCAACUUCCUUCUAGAGCGCUCACCUCUGUUUCCCUCCAGCGAACCCCACGUCACCCUUUACGCCUUGACUCUUGCCAAGCCAGCAACCCUGUGCUGCCCUUCCCACUCUAAGGACUUGUUCAGAUCAAGCCCUACAUCUAGAAAAGCCAACCUUCAGCCUUCCACAUCCUUCCCAGCUUUCUGAAUUCCAAACCAAUAUCCACAAUUUCCAGGGAACCCUCCAUGAUUAGCCCACAUCUGUCUACGCUCCACAUACCAGGGCGCUGCAUUAGACUGGAACUUAGAAAUAAAUAACGCAUGUCACAUUGCUAUCUAUUCCGCCUGAUACUCAUGCUUUUAGUAACGGGUUUUGAUGAGUCCUCAAGAACCCACAUGGUCCAGAGGAUGUGGCAGUUUAAAAUGCUGUGGAAUUAUAACCUAAACCAAUGACCCUAAGUGACUGUGUGAGGCAGUGGCACCUGAGCUGGUGAGUGAGGCUGGCCAACCACCCGGCAUCCGCAUCGCAAGGAGACGAUUCUCUGCUCAGCAUCCCAAAAACAUAUUUUGGGAAAGUUAUUCUCCCAGGGGUUGAAGAUGCACGUGGAAGUUCAUUUGCCAGUGCACUGGCUGAUGUUCAAUAUUCGGAAAUACCCCAGAACAGUACUAUUCAGCAGUUAAGAGUGAGAGAGUUCUUUUUACAUAAGAACAGUGAGUGGCAGUUACAUAAACUGACUGGUGAAGCGUCAGCAAAAACUUAUUGAGUGCCUGGCACCACAAGUAUGGAUCUCAAUUUUCAAAUGAUUACUUGCGUUCUAAAAACAUAAUUUUCAAAAACCCAGCCUUCUUGCCACUUCAUUUAUAUGAGAGCUAAAACAACAUUUUUGAACCAGUGGCUCAUUAAAAGAUUUAGUAUUUACCUUUUCUCUACUUAUCUCUGUCAGUUCCAGACCAGAUGCUUGGGUACUCUGUAAAUCCUGAGAAAAUAAAGAUUAAUUUGUAACA